AGAAUCAACGCUGGCGGCGUGCCUAACACAUGCAAGUCGAACGAGAAAGUGGAGCAAUCCAUGAGUAAAGUGGCGACCGGGUGAGUAACACGUGACUAACCUACCUUCGAGUGGGGGAUAACCUCGGGAAACCGAGGCUAAUACCGCAUAACAUCGCAAGAUCAAAGCAGCAAUGCGCUGGAAGAGGGGGUCGCGGCUGAUUAGCUAGUUGGCGGGUAACGGCCACAGGCGAAGAUCGGUA
rnacentral:rRNA from 1 species